AGCGCAGGCGGGAGGUCAAGUCUAUCUUAAAAGUGCGGGGCUCAACCCCGUGAGGGGAUGGAAACUGGUCUUCUUGAGUGCAGGAGAGGAAAGCGGAAUUCCUAGUGUAGCGGUGAAAUGCGUAGAUAUUAGGAGGAACACCAGUGGCGAAGGCGGCUUUCUGGACUGUAACUGACGCUGAGGCUCGAAAGCGUGGGGAGCGAACA
rnacentral:rRNA from 1 species